rnacentral:rRNA from 1 species
GGGUGCGAUCAUACCAGCACUAAUGCACCGGAUCCCAUCAGAACUCCGCAGCUAAGCGUGUUUGGGCGAGAGAAGUACUAGGAUGGGUGACCUCCUGGGAAAUCCUCGUGUUGCCCCCC